GUUCGUGUAGAUCAGUGGUUAGAUCGUUUGUCUUACACGCAAAAGGUCGCAGGUUUGAAACUUGCUCCAAACA